rnacentral:lncRNA from 1 species
AAUUUCUCUAACAUUAAAAUGAAGGAUCGGAGUUCUCUUAUAAUUUAAUCAUGUAUUGAACAAAUAACUCGUGCGGAUUGAUAAUUAAUAAAUAAAAAAAUAAAAAAGUUAAAUGCUAGGAAACUUUCGCUCUGUCUCUUCGCACGUGAAUCUUGAUAUUCCUUUUGCCGGGCUAGAGAGCAUUUCUUCUCAACUGUGUCGAGCCUUCACUGGUUGAAUCCUCGCUGAUCAAACUCUUCAAGGAGACAAGUAAAGCACUUAUUCUAUUUUUGGCCCCUACUAGGUAGUACUGUAGUAGGUUUUUUAAGAUGUUUUCUCGGAGAUCAUAAGGAAUUUCUUAUACUGGCACUCCCUUUAUCCAGUAGAUUCUGUAGGCAAACCUACUUCAAAAUGAGUUUGUUGUGGCACUAGUUCUUCAUCCCUUCUGGCAAUAGAUCUGAAUCUAUAGAGUGGUGGCCUAGGGAAAGAGCUUCAACUCCAAGGACUCCCGUGCUACUUUGACCUUGCUUUACCCAUCCACUAUCACUGAAAAACGCACGUCAGAAGAUUUUUAAAAGUUUAGUAGAAUUCAGUUUAGGAGAUGAUUCAAUUUCUAGGAUGAAUAGUUUGGCGUUUGUUCUAAAAUUAAGAAGAGAUCAAUCAUAUUGUGACGAUGCAACGUCUGUAUGGUAACAAAACCACAAAAUUAUUCAAUGAUUGAUUCUUCAAGAAGCAAUACACAUGUAUUGAAUCAGAGCUUCUUGCAACUUGGUGAAUUAUUGUCCGUAUUGACAAAAAUUGCUUACAUGAUACACAAGAUUCCUCAGAGAUGUGAAAAUUCAAAAUCAAAAUGAUAGCAAGGGAUUAUGUGGCUAGGCUUUUUCCAUUGAUUGCAGCCUUUUGAAUUGGCAAGUGUCGAAGAAUACCUUCAUUCAGAAAAUAAAAAAUGUAAAAGAUGUUGGGGUUUGUUGGGUUAUUUGGGUACAAAACUGAACCUUUCGAAUCCUUUGAGCUAUUUGCAGAAUUACAGACUGUGGGGAACUGGCAAUCUAACAAGAUAAUGGACGUACUGAAUCGAUAUCGAUCUACACUGUCCCAAUUUGGCUACCCGGGCUUUGUCUGGCCGUUGCUUUUUUUUAUCGAUACUGAAACGUGUUAAAGCUUUCAACUUCUGGCCUUUUCUUUUGAUAAUUUUUGAUGUUGCAUUUUGUGGUUCACAUCGUGGUACGACUGCAGCAUCAUUGCCGCAUAUGACCCAUUUUCAGGUGAUGUGAAAUGUUAUACUUCUUAAAAAUAUUUUAAAGGUGUAGCAAUUAGAAAAAUAUCUUACACUAUCGUGUAAUUUGAUUAAGACCCAUAUAUUUUAUUUGUUUUAUAUAUAUAUACACACACACAUAUAUAAAUAAGGAAAACUCAUUAAAACUUAAACUAAAUCACUCCUUAUCAUCAAAGGUAGACUCUGGCUCGAAUCCAUUGGAGAUCGAUAUUACGUGGAUCACAAGCACUAUUGCAUGUCUCUUUCCCGUUGCUUUUGAACUUUUAACAUAAAAGCACAAUAAAACAUGUGUUGCCAUAAAAGAGAAGCACGUGUAUGCAACUACUCAAAUAAAGUGAAAAAAAAAUUAGUAUGUAAUUAUAAAUUAUGAUUUGUAAUUAGCAUGUUGUCUUAUAAAAUUAACCUGAUCGUUGGUCCCCACCUUCGCACCCCCACGUCGCUAGCAAGUGAGUACCAAACCCUUUCGGCUUGUGAAACAAUUGAUCCGACUACUAUGAUGAGAUUAAAUCUUAAAAGGUUAAAUUAAAAUGGAAUUUGUAAAAUUUAAUCACUUUUUCAAAUAAAUAAAAACAGAACAUCCAGAAUCUAUUUUAGCUUCAUACCAAUGCCCAUCCGUGCAAGUGUCAGCGCUCCCAGCUGAGAUCGUUGGACCACAAUUGCAAUAACUUAAAAAGUUUGUCCCCCCCC